rnacentral:rRNA from 1 species
AUGGGGGACGACCAUGGCGCCAAGCUGGUGAAGAGCCUGCGGGGCGCGGCGCAGAAGUACGUCGGCGUGGGGUUCUUCCUCGGCUUCUUCCUCGUCCUCCUCACCUACUUCACCCUCUCCGAGCAGUUCGCCAUCGCCGCGCCCAACGCUAUCCGGAGGACCUCGGCGGCGCACCCGACGCCGACCACCCCGGCCGUGGCAGAGAAGACGGUGCAGCAGCAACAGCUCCCCGUCAAAAAGGAGGAAGCACCUCUGCCAGAGCAUGAACAAGUACAAGAGAAGCCACCACCUGUCGACGAGGAGCCCCACAGAGAAACAGAGGAGCCCAACUCAGAAACAGAGGAGGACCCCAAGCCCAUCGAUGAGGCUAGCAAGAUCGUGACCACCGCGGAGGAGAGCGCGCCGGCGAAGAAGCCGGCGUGCGACAUCCAGGGGCCGUGGGCGUCCGACGUCUGCGACCUCGCCGGCGGCAGCGGCGGCGUGCGCAUCCACGGCUCGACCCACACGGUGCUCGUCCCGCCCACCAUCGAGUCCGGUGGCAGCAACCCCAACCCGCAGGAGUGGCGCGUGCUGCCCUACUCCCGGAAGCACAUGUCCGGCAUCAAGGAGAUCACCGUGCGCGAGCUGCCCACGGCGGCCGACGCGCCCCGCUGCGCCGUCACCUCGCAGGUCCCCGCGCUCGUCUUCGCCAUGGGCGGCCUCACGGGAAACUACUGGCACGACUUCAGCGACGUCAUGAUCCCGCUCUACCUCCAGGCGUCCCGCUUCGACGGCGAGGUGCAGCUCGUGGUCACCAACAUCCAGCCAUGGUACGCCGGCAAGUACCGCCACAUCAUCGCCCGGCUCUCCCGGUACGACGUCGUGGACAUGGACAAGGACGACCAGGUGCGCUGCUUCCCCAGCGCCGUCGUCGGCAUCCGCAUGCACAAGGAGUUCAGCAUCGACCCCACCAAGGAGCCCACGGGCCACUCCAUGCCCGAGUUCACCAAGUUCCUCCGCAACGUCUUCGCGCUCCCGCGCGCCGCGCCGAUGAGGGUCACCGCCGGGAGCGACAAGAAGCCGAGGAUGAUGAUCAUCUCCCGGCGCCACCCGAGGAAGCUGGUCAACGUGGCGGAGGUGGUGGCGCUGGCCAAGCGGAUCGGGUUCGAGGUGGUGAUCGGGGACCCGCCGUUCAACGUGGACGUGGGCGACUUCGCGCGGGAGGUGAACGCCGCCGACGUGCUCAUGGGGGUGCACGGCGCCGGCCUCACCAACUCGCUCUUCCUGCCGACGGGGGCGGUGUUCAUCCAGGUGAACCCCUUCGGCAAGAUGGAGCACAUCGGGGAGGUGGACUUCGGGACGCCGGCGGUGGACAUGGGGCUCAAGUACAUGGCCUACUCGUGCGGCAUGGAGGAGAGCACGCUGGUGGACACGCUCGGGCGCGACCACCCGGCGGUCAAGGACCCGGAGUCGAUCCACCGCAGCGGGUGGAGCAAGGUGGCGGAGUACUACCUCGGCAAGCAGGACGUGAAGCUCGACCUCCAGCGGUUCGAGCCGGUGCUCCUCAAGGCCAUGGCCAUGCUCAGAGAGUAG